UGGGGGCCCUGAAACCUGGGAUGUGGGGGCCCUAAGGUUGGGACGUGGGGGCUCUGAAAUUCAGGACAUGGUGGCCCUAAAACCUGGGACGUGGUGGUCCUGAAAUUCGGGACAUGGUGCCCUAAAACCUGGGACAUGGGGGCCCUAAAGCUCGGGACAUAAUGGCCUAGAACCUGGGACAUGGUGGCCCUAUGGUUGGGACAUGGGGGCCCUAAAACCUGAGACAUGGUGGCCCUGAAAUUCGGGACAUGGAGGCCCUAAAACCUGGGACAUGGGGGCCCUAAGGUUGGGACAUGGGGGCCCUAAAGCUCGGGACAUAAGGGCCUAAAACCUGGGACGUGGUGGUCCUGAAAUUCAGGACAUGGUGGCCCUUAAACCUGGGAUGUGGGGGCCCUGAAACCUGGGAAGUGGUGGCCCUAAGGUUGGGACAUGGGGGCCCUAAAACCUGGGACGUGGGGGCCCUAAGGCCGGGACAUAAUGGC